AGCCAUACUCGCAAUCUCAAUCAAGCAAUUCAUCUCUAAGCUUUUCUGAAAUGGUAAAAAAAAAAGAAUAGCAAGGGUGAGCUACAAUGCUCAACAAGUGUAUAUAAGCAACAAUAGUCCUGAAAUAUUUUAUCAGGGUUCACAAGUUCAGGAUAUGCAAUUGAAAACUUCACAAUUCUUAUCAGCAAUUGAAAUCAGAAUUUCAAACUUACAGAAGAAUUGUCGAAUUGGAUUCAUCACAUUUUUACUUAAAAACCAAAGGUUAGGCUGCUGAUCAGUCACGCACUAACCCCGAACAUGGCACACAGCCCUGUUCUCUAUACUGGAUCCAAGGCACACAUUGGCCUAUAAUUGACCACGAAUCUGGUCUGACCACGAAUCUGGUCCACAUAUUUUAUAAAAACUAAUCCAAUUCUAACAAUUUAAAUCAAUAGACAAUUCAAUCAACAGAACAGAAUCAUAAUCAUUAUCAACAACAGAAAUAUUUCAAAUCAACUUUUGGGAAUCAACAUUUCAUAAACCACAGUCUGUCUUUUGAUAAAUCAUAGUUCAGGAAAUUCCUAACUAUUCAGUAUCCUCCAUUAUCGGCUAAGCAACUGAAUUUAGCCUGCUAAACCAGCAUGACAAUGGCGGGUUGAAUAAUCAAGAAGAUCCCAGUUCAUUCUAGGUUCUAACUAUCACUGAGCAACACAUGCUUCAAUGACGGUCUGAACUUCGAAUUAAUUUGUAAAGCUGGUAUUUUUAAUAUCUUGAGGAUUGGAAAGAAUGGAUCAGAAUACUUGUAAUAGAAAUUGAGAGUAAUUAGGUGUUUGGAUUUUCAAAACUUGGAAGAAGAAAACAAUCAUGGGUUUCAUGCUCAGAAGUAAGAGUUUAUUUGAGAAGGGUUUCAGUAUAAACAAUAUCAUAAUCUUGACAGAAUAAUCAGAACAUGCAAUAUAUAUAUGAGGAAGGAUUUAGGAAAACUUGCCUUAAAUCCGAUUCCAGUCUCAUAUCUCAAUCUCAUCUUUCCACUUUCACACUCUAUGCAUAUCAUAGUCUCUAGACCAUCUUUGGCUAUACUCUAUUCGCCACACUGCUUCGUUUACUCGAUUCGUUCCUUAUUCGCUUUGUAACAUCGUUUGACCUUCUGAACGUCUUCGAUCGUAUCCGUCUCGUCCAAACCCUUUACGAGAAUAAGAUACUACCAUUAUCACUAAAUAAUCUAUUGAUUCUUAUCUCUACUUAUCAACUCGGUAGCAUAACCUAUCGCAUACACAUAUCACGUAUAUCGAUACCCACUUAUAUAACUCUUUAAACUCAUCAAAUAUCACUUAACACAUAAUCAUGCUUUGACUCUACCAUAUAGUCUAAUCAUAUUUCACAUAACAUAUUAUCAAUUAAAUAUCAUAUAAAUCUUAUCGAAAAUCCGACAUCGUCUCGUCUAUUUAUUAGACUAUCCACCUGUUAUCCUAUCUCAAUCAACAAUCAACCAACCAAAUCCAAUCACUAUAAUCCAUAUGCUUUUAUCCGACAUCUAUCAAGACACGACACUAUGUCAUUUAAUCAUUUAUCACAUGUAUGUAAUACUAGAACAACCAGAUAGUCCAUGCAAUCAUCAAUUAAUAGCAAUUAGAUCACAUAUAAUCAUAUUCUAUACAUUUAACAACAAUUAUUCACAUUCUAUACUCCACCAUAUUAUUAUGUCACAUUAAAAUAGACUUUAUAAGCUUUAAUCUCUUUUUCGUUUCACUCCAUUCUGAAUUACGAGUCAAAAGUUAUGAACAAAACUGUUUUCUUACUCUCUAUCGGCACAUAACACAUCAAACAGAUAGCAGACAACAUAUUUCAUAUAAGGUCUCCCAUCCCGAUUGAUGUCAAAUCAAGUCUUGGGUUAAAAAUGAUUUUUCGGGAAUUUUCUGGAAUUUCUAGACAUUUUUCGGAAUUAAAACAGGUAAAAGAAUCCAUUUUUGAAUAAAUAAUCAAGUCCGAUUGCUCAAGAUCGGAUCCAAAAUCAUUUGAAAUCAAUUAACGAGCCUCGAACAUAUUUUAGAAAAAUAAUUCAAAGCUCGAAACUAUUUUCCAGAAUUUUUAAAUCAAAAGGAACAAUUAAAUCUAAUUAAUUAAUCAAUUAAAAUCAAUUAAUAAUUAACUAAAUUAAUUAAUCAAUUAAUAUUUAAAUUAAUUGACCAAUUAAAAUAAUUAAUUACUAAUUAAAAUUAAUUUAGAAACUAAUUUAGAUUUAUUUUUGAAUAAAGAAAUAAUUAAAAACUAUUUUUGGAAUUUAAAAUAAUUAAAUAAAACAAUUUUAGAAAAUUAAAUCAAAAGGUUUAUUUUGUAAACUUUUGAAAGUUUUGUCCAGGGUUUAAAGUGUAACUUUCAGAAGUUACAGGGGCUGUUUUGCAAAGUUCAAAACCUCGAUACUAGAUCUUCACCAUCUUCAAAACAUGGGUGGCCAAACGACAAUUUGCCGCCGGCCACCACUGGCUCCGCCGGAAUCGGUGCUACCGACCUCCGUUCGCCACCAAAUUGUCCAGAAACGCAAUAUCCACCACCAGGAAUCUGUUGGUGGCUUCGUUUUCGAGAAAGGAGCGGCCAAUUGGCCGGAAAUCCGCCCGGAAGUUCGCCGCUGCCGAGUUCUUCGCGAACUCCGGCCGGCCUGUACACAGCUCGUUUACUUGUUUUGAACCCAUGUAUAGAUUCCUCUUAAAACGCUCUUUCUAAUGGUACUAACCACACACCCUCUAGCUUCCUAGAUUAAAAACGCCCAAUUUCAAUUGAAAAGCUUCAAGAACAUUCAAGAACACAUCUCAAGAAUCAAACCCUUAUUUCUAUAUGUUAUGGAAGUCAAAAAUCGACAUAUAAUAUAUGAAAACGAAUGGCAGGAGAUGCUCUACAACAUGGAAUCAUCAAAUCAAUCAAACAAUCACGUUUGCAAAAAUUCAUAUUUAAAAUCCAUAUAAUUCGAAUUUUCGAAAAUUAAUAAUAAUUUACCCGUGAAAUCUGCAGUGUUACGGUUGAUUAAAAUAGAUUCUACGCGUCGAGAGCUUCGUUUUGACUAUUUAUACGCCUCCAUCGGAUUCCAAUAACGCCUUCAAAUCCUCGUUUGAAUAUGAAGAACACGAAGAACACCCGUUCGUCUUCUCUCGGUAUUCGUGCAGAGAAACU
rnacentral:lncRNA from 1 species